GUUUUCCUAAAGGUUCUUAGGCCCCCGAGGAUAAGUACAGACGUCUCUGUACCGAUCCGCAAGACUGUACUACACUGGCUCAUGACUCACGAGACCAAGUAACCUACGCUCUGAUAUUAACUUUUCAUGACCCCAACCCCGGUCGUGAUGGUGCCCAACACACUGCUAGGCAAGACCGACCAAUUUAAUAUCCGCAACCCUUUUUAUACAGUUCAUGAAUUAAUUAACACGGUUAAAUUACUAGGUCAUAAUACUAAAAGUCGGAAAUAAAACUAAAACAUGCGGAAUCCCGAAGAAUCUGGUGUCACAAGUCUGAGUCUCUAAUAUCUAAGUAUCAAUCUACUACAUACCAUUCAAAAGAAAUGGGAAAAUAAAGCAAAUAAGGUAGAAGGAAGAUCAGGACUGCGGACGGCAUGCAGCUACCUUGAUCCUCCUGAAAAAACUGCUCGGUAGAGAAAACCUCACUCAGCCUCUGAUGUACCUGGAUCUGCAUGCAAGGUGCAGGGAGUAAUGUGUGUACUCCAACCCAGUGAGUAAUAAACAUAAAUAAAGGUUGAAUAAGAAAUCCUCAAUAGGCACAAGUAAUUCUAUAAAUACAGCAACUUGAACUAGAUAGUAUUUC
rnacentral:lncRNA from 1 species